AGGUUCUAGUCUGGAACACUCCACUAUUUUGACAUCACUGGAUUCUCUCUUUGUCAUAAUUCUAUAUUUCACAGGAAAAGCAUGCCUUUGACUCAGAACUUGGAAAGGCUAUUUUUGGACUCUCUCUCAGAUGUAGUCUGUGCUGGCUUGGGGAUUCUGGAUGUUGUAGCACAAAGAAGUAAUUUUUAUAAGUUCUGCACUGACUACCACCCCUUGUUUGCUUUGACCUUAAAUAACUGUUGGACUGUGUGAUGGAGACACAUUUUGUUUUCUCACGUUUCCUGACACUGUCAGUUAUAGUCACAUUUACUCAUCACCUCAUGCCUGUGAAUAAGGAAUCACUGCCUGGCAAGAUGGCUGUGCUGUUCCACAGGCUACCUACAGCUACAGAAUCAUUCUGCUGGGAAGACCUGGAACCAUCUGAACCAGAGAUGUUAUCCUAACAUUUGUGCCAGCAGAUCCCUACUGAAGCCAAAGGUCCUUCACUGGUGCUGGAAACCAGCCUGCCAUUUUCUUCUCACAAACCAAACCACAAAAAGUGACUAGAUUUAGAAACAGUUCAGACUUAUAUUAUUUAUGCCAGCAGUCCACAAAACCACUGAGGCUAGGCGGAAAAACCUUGCCAAGUACAUAAGUUUGUUUAGCUGCACAAAAAACAUCUGUGGAAGGUGAAUGUAAUAACCCUGUAUGUUACUACAGACAGGUAUUUGCAUUAAAAGUGCCAUUUACUGCUCAUGUUAACAAUGCUAUUCUGUUGUGCCUGAUAUUAGAAAAUAAUAAGGUAACACUCCACAUUAAAUGCUGAGAGUCAGCAGUGCACUCCUGC
rnacentral:lncRNA from 1 species